GCGUGUGUGAAGAAGGCCUGCGGGUUGUAAAGCACUUUCAGUAGAGAAGAAAAGCACAAGGUUAAUAACCUUGAGUCUUGACGUAACCUACAGAAGAAGCACCGGCUAACUCCGUGCCAGCAGCCGCGGUAAUACGGAGGGUGCAAGCGUUAAUCGGAAUUACUGGGCGUAAAGCGCGCGUAGGCGGUUUUGUAAGUCGAUUGUGAAAGCCCUGGGCUUAACCUGGGAAUUGCAUUCGAUACUGCAUGACUAGAGUAUGGUAGAGGGAAGUGGAAUUUCCGGUGUAGCGGUGAAAUGCGU
rnacentral:rRNA from 1 species